CUACACUAUGCUGCUUCUCUCAUCCAGUGAUCAGCACAAAGGGCCAAGGAAGGAGCCUGAGCCCCAGAUGCAUCCUGGGAAACCCAGCCCCCUGCUCCAUCCCCACCUCCCCAUGGACAUGUUGGUGUGGACAGGAGGUACAGGAUGGAAGCCACAGCGCAGCCCUGAACCGGACCUCCUGGCCCCGUGGAAAGUGAAGGACUGACCAGCUAUUCACCGGAUGCCAUGGACACUCAUAGAUUGCGCCGCCCCACUGUGAGGGAAUUUGCUGGAAUCAGGCUGCUGCCCCCUUGCCAUCCUUCCUCCUGCCCCCCAGCCCACAACUGUGUAUCCCCUCUUUCCAGAGCAUGCCACUUUCUUUGUGGACCAAGGGUCAAACUCUGCAUCAUGGGUGCCAAACAAGUCCCCUGCAACUCCAGGAGGGGAUGGAGGUGUGUGUGUGCUUCAUGCCUGAGAGUGAGGGCUGGGACCAAAGUAGGGUGAGAGGGGCUGCCCCUCUUUGGACGGGUACAGGGUUAUGGAAACAGGGGUCUAGAGUUCUGGAUAGGUGCUCUAAGUACAGACCGAGAGCAGGUAUGAAGUCGCCCUGGGGCCCUUAAUUCUAUAGACAGUGCGACUUCCUCCUGCCC